GAUGAACGCUGGCGGCGUGCCUAAUACAUGCAAGUCGAACGCGAGAGGAGGGAGCUUGCUCCCUCUGAUCGAGUGGCGGACGGGUGAGUAACACGUAGGCAACCUGCCCAUCAGCCGGGGCUAACUGCGGGAAACCGUGGCUAAUACCGGAUAAUCCUCCCCGCCGCGGGGUGGGGAGUUGGACGACGGGUUCGGCUGUCGCUGAUGGAUGGGCCUGCGGGGCAUUAGCUGGUUGGCGGGGUAAGGGCCCACCAAGGCAACGAUGCGUAGCCGACCCGAGAGGGUGAUCGGCCAGACGGGGACUGAGACACGGCCCAGACUCCUACGGGAGGCAGCAGUAGGGAAUCUUCCGCAAGGGACGCAAGUCUGACGGAGCAACGCCGCGUGAGUGAAGAAGGGUUUCGGCUCGUAAAACUCUGUUGUUAAGGAAGAACGCCAGGUAGAGUAACUGCUACCUGUGUGACGGUACUUAACCAGAAAGCCACGGCUAACUACGUGCCAGCCGCCGCCGUAA
rnacentral:rRNA from 1 species